AUACGGAUGGUGCGAGCGUUGUUCGGAAUUACUGGGCGUAAAGGGCGCGUAGGCGGCGAUGUAAGUCAAAUGUGAAAGUCCUCGGCUUAACCGGGGAAGUGCAUCUGAAACUGCAUUGCUAGAGUAUGGGAGAGGAAAGUGGAAUUCCCGGUGUAGAGGUGAAAUUCGUAGAGAUCGGGAGGAAUACCGGUGGCGAAGGCGACUUUCUGGACCAAUACUGACGCUGAGGCGCGAAAGCGUGGGGAGCAAACAGGAUUAGAUACCCUAGUAGUCC
rnacentral:rRNA from 1 species